rnacentral:rRNA from 1 species
AUGGCGCGCCUUCUCCUCGUCCUCGUCCUCGCGGUGGCCGCCGCCGUCGCCCAAUCACUGCCCGCGCACGUUUCUGCGGCUCCCUCGCCAUCAUGGUCCUACCGCUGUGGCUGGUGCCCUCGCCGCUCCACCGCCUCCCUCCUCCCUCCCGACGCCGGCAUCCUCAUCGGCGCCGCGUGCGGUUACUGUGACCCGGCGGACCUCGCUGCGGACGGUGGGUUCCACAUCGCGACCGUCAGCGCUGGAUUCUUCCAUAGCGGCCGGGCCUGCGGCGCCUGCUACCAGCUGAGGUGCAGGGACCGGGGCGCGUGCGCGGAGGACGGCGUCAAGGUCGUCGUCGUCGCUGACGUGGCUAAGCCGGCGACGGACACGAACAGGACAGGCGGCAGCCAGUUCCAGCUCACGAAGGACGCGUUCGCAGCCUUGACCGCUUCUCGUGACGAUGGUCAGCUCAGGAGCUUGGUGGACGCGGCCGUCAACGUCGACUUCAGGAGGAUACCUUGCGCGUACAAGAGCAAAAACCUGGCGGUGAGGGUGGAUGAGACGAGCAGCAGGAACAGGGGGCACCUCGCCCUCCGCUUCCUCUAUCACGGCGGCCAGACCGACAUAGUCGCGGUCGAGGUCGCGCAGGCGGCGGCUCUUGGUGCCGCCCAGAGCGCUGCCGCUCCAUCGCCAAUGAACUGGCAGUACAUGACGCGUCACCAGGGGUCACCCGGGGGGUGGCGCACGUCGCGCGCGCCGGCCGGCCCGCUGCAGCUUCGGCUCGUAGUCACCGCUGGUUCCGGCAGCAAGUGGCUGCGCGCCGAAGGGGCGAUGCUCCCCGCGAAGUGGCAGCCUGGCGCGGUCUACGACACUGGCCUGCGCGUCACCGAGGUCGCUGCAAACACCUGCGGCAGCGCCUCGUGCAGCGCCGGAGACGACAACCACGACGACGAGUAG